UUGAUUUCUUUAUAUAAUAGAUUGGAUUCUUUUCUCUCGCUCUCCGUCUUUCCCCUCUUCGCCCCUUCAUUGCGCCGCGACGCAGCGAGAGAGAGAGAGAGAGAGACAUAUAGAGAGAUCCAUUUAUAAUAACAAGGAUUCGAGAACGAGGGCGACCCGCGGUGUGCGAAGAGCCUCUCUUUCCAUCAAUCGCCAACGAAUUCGGGUGAUUCUUGCUGUAAUGGGGAGAAUCUAGCAGAGGAUAGGGGAUAAUUGGUGGAAAGAUUGCAUCUUGCGUUGGAUUCGUGGGGGAAUAAGUUCCUUAGUCGUUGUUACUUAGGGUUUCGGGCCAGUAGGGUUUGAGUUGAGGAAGAAGUCGAGUUGUAAUUGUUCUUCUGAUCGGAUUUUCUUCUUGGAGAUCUCAGCGGAGUGGAGACUGGGUUUUUGGAGUCGCUUCGACUUCGAGGAGGCGGUUUUGGGAAGAAGAAGAUUUUUUCUUUGCUGCUCCAUUCUGUAUCUGAAAUUUCUGUUCUUUUUCCAGUCGUACCAGUUCUUCUCAGAGCAUCGUGAGCGGUCAGACAUCAAGUCUGACACCAUAGAGCUUGAGGGUUUUUUCCGUCUCAUUUCUGUAUCAAAAGCCCACCUUGCAGUCUUGUGUGCGCGGUCAUGCUGUAUCAGUGUCCAUUUUCUCUCCUUGUUUCAGGAAGCCUAGUAAAGGAAGGAGUCUUGUGUCGGGAGGAGAAUUGGCUUGAUUGAAAGCAUCCUCCGAGGACUAGGUAGAGUUGUUCCCUAGCACUUGCUUUUGGCAAAUCCAUGAAAGAAUCACCUAUGAAGGACAACGACAAAUGCCUGGACUCCCAGCUCUGGCACGCCUGCGCUGGCGGAAUGGUUCAGAUGCCUGCCGUGAACUCCAAGGUCUACUACUUCCCCCAGGGUCAUGCCGAGCAUGCCCAGUCAGCCGUGGACUUUGGGACUUCGCCACGGAUACCACCACUCAUCCUCUGCAGGGUGACUGCAGUCAAGUUCAGGGCUGAUAAAGAGACAGAUGAGGUCUUUGCCAAGAUCCAGAUGGUUCCCAUCAGUAACAGCGAGUCGGACUAUGGCGAAGGUGAUGGUUUGGGUCUUAGUAUGAACGGAUUUGAUGCACAAGAAAAGCCUACAUCUUUUGCCAAGACACUGACCCAAUCGGAUGCCAACAAUGGUGGUGGAUUCUCUGUCCCUCGCUACUGCGCUGAGACCAUCUUCCCCAGGUUGGAUUACUCCGCGGACCCCCCUGUGCAGACCGUGAUUGCAAAGGAUGUACAUGGUGAGGUUUGGAAGUUUAGGCAUAUAUACAGGGGCACACCACGGCGGCACCUGCUCACCACUGGCUGGAGUAUCUUUGUAAACCAGAAGAAGCUGGUGGCCGGGGAUUCAAUUGUGUUCCUUAGAGCAGAGAAUGGGGAUCUCUGCAUCGGCAUCCGGCGUGCCAAAAGAGGUGGGUUUGGUGAUGGUCCUGAGACUCCAGGAUGGAAUUCACCAAGCGAAAGCGCUAUCUCUGGCUAUGACAGCUUCUCUGCCUUUCUGAGGGAGGAGGAGAGCAAAUUGAUGAGAGGUACUGGUGGGAAUUUUGCCUCCAGCGGGGGUAUGAGAGGAAGGGGGCGAGUGAGGGCAGAUGCUGUCAUUGGGACAGCAUCACUAGCAGCUAGUGGACAGCCUUUUGAGGUUGUGUACUACCCGAGAGCCGGUACACCUGAGUUUUGUGUAAAGGCUGCAUCUGUGAGAGCAGCGAUGAGGAUCCAGUGGUGUCCGGGGAUGAGAUUUAAGAUGGCUUUUGAGACUGAGGACUCAUCUAGAAUUAGCUGGUUCAUGGGGACUAUAUCUUCAGUUCAGGUUUCAGAUCCUGUAAGAUGGCCUAUUUCACCAUGGAGACUUCUUCAGGUGCAAUGGGAUGAGCCAGACUUUCUACAAAAUGUGAAGUGUGUGAAUCCAUGGCUAGUUGAACUGGUCUCACACAUGCCAGCCAUAAAUCUUGCACACUUUUCACCGCCCAGCAAAAAACCACGGAUCCCUCAACACCCUGAUUUACCCUUUGAAGGUCAAUUUCCAACUCCAAUGGUCGCUCGAAUCCCCCUUCGGUCCGGCGACAGCCCCUUUUGCUGUUAUUCUGACAGCGCUCCUGCAGGCAUACAGGGAGCCAGGCAUGCAAAUUUUGGUCUACGAAAUCUCCACCUUAGCAAACUGCAGAUGGGUCUAUUCCAUGCUGGGCUUCACCGGGUUGAUCAAGCCACUCCAAACUCAAGGAUAUCCAUGGGUGUUAUUGUCGGCAAUCCCACCGUUGAUGAUGACUUGUCUUGUUUGCUAACAAUUGGUCAUCCUUCUCAGAACCUGAAGAAAUCAUGUAAUGGAAAGCCACCACAACUGGUGCUAUUUGGGCAGCCAAUUCUCACCGAACAACAGGUAUCUUUGAGCGAAUCUGAGAAUGUAGUCUCCCUUGGUGCGACCGGAAAAAGUUCAACAGGUGGGGAUCUCAAAAAGACAACAUAUGCGUCUGGUGGUUCUGGAUAUGCAAUAGAUCGGAAGGGGUCUCCUGAAGCAUUCCCAAGUUACAGGGAUCAUCGAGCUUCAGAGCUUGGUCUUGAGUCUGGGCAUUGCAAGGUUUUUAUGGAAUCUGAUGAUGUCGGUCGCACUCUUGACCUCUCAGUCUUUGGCUCAUAUGAGGAACUAUAUGGGAGGCUUUCUGACAUGUUUGGAAUUGAAAAAUCGAAGAUGAUGAACCAUGUGUUUUACAAGGAUGUGGCUGGUGCAGUUAAACACACCAGAGAUGAACCAUUCAGUGACUUCAUGAAAACAGCCAGGAGGCUGAUGAUAUUGACAGAUUCAGGAAGCCGAUGACCUAGCAAGGUAGCAAAGGUCUCUUGCCAAUCGUACAGUCGAACUAACAAGCCUCUUAUUGAAGUACCAAGAUCAUAGGCACUUCAUUCUUGGAUGUUAUGUAACGUCCUAAGGGAUCAUGGGAGGUUUUGGGGAGGUUGACCUUUGCGGAUGGACACGCAAGGGUGUCGCACGACUUAGACAAAACCAGCUAAGUCCGUGACAGAUGGUAUCAGAGAGGGACAAGCACUCAAAGAAACACUUGACAUGCCAACGUGGGGGAUCUAGUUGGGUUGUGUUGAGGGCAGUCAGCACGCGCGACCAUUUGGGGAAAAACGGGCAUGGAGAUGUAGGGAAAAUGAGUCGCUCGGAGGAGCGGGCAUUUGAGAUUAACAUUCAGAGGAAUGACCAACCCUUCACCGCAAGAGGCUUGGAAGAAUGCGUAGCGCACAAAGGUUGGAAUGGCAGAGUUCGAGCUACGGCUCGACAUUGACAACUAUACUUGAUGGUACUCAAGGCAAGCGAGGUGCUUGGUAAAGGAUGAGACCAUGUAAGGUAGAAUGUGUUGUUCAACGUUCGAAAGAGUUGUGUAAAGCUUACAAAGGUAAGGGGAAUUGCUAACUCGAAGAAUUCGAUACUCAUGCAAAGGCUUGUAUGCGGACGAUGGAAUGUUCGCGGCCAUCCUAAGGCGAUCGAAACUCGAUGCCAUGGAUCAUUAAAACUUUCUCUUCGGCAUGAGAAGGAUACGCCCGUAGGAGGCUGAAGUGUGCAGUAAGUUUAGCAUGUUGCUAGAACUUGAGUGGUGCAGCGGGGGCUGUAUUGACGUGGAGUUGCAAUCUAGCAAGUGCGUUUGCAAAAGACAGAACAAUGCACAAUUUGUUCAGCAAGUCGGAGUAGUCCAAGGGGAUGGUGGUCUCCGAAGCUUUCAGAGGGAAGGAAACGAAGAGAGAUAUUGCUCCAACGGGAUAGAUACCCAGGAAGGAUAAGUCUCGGCUCUUUAGAGGAAGAAUCACGUGCAACUCCACGAAGCUCAAUGGACCGAGUGAGUGGCGAGGAGUCGUCGCAUGAUCUCGCUUGAGAGAAUGCAUUGGUGGAUGCAUUACGAGAUAAAGUGGGGGAGCGACCUAAGGCAACAUAAAUGAAGGCACACUUGGAGUCGAUAUAGAGAUCAUACUUAAUGGAAGGCUGACUCGUGGAAUGGUGGGCGCGAGAGCCACCAUCAACUCAAUGCAAAACGAGGAGCGGAGCAACUGGGGUGUAACUUGGCGAAGCACCCAAGUCGCAUGAAGGGAGCCAGCAUAGAAGAUGAAACAUGGAGCGGAGGCACAGAGCUUUCCUUGGACAGAGGUCAAGUACAUGAACUCUUGUAGAGGCAAGAGAGGGAUCAUGUCGUUCCAUGGGUCCUUCAUUCUGAUGGAGUAGGCUCAUCCUGUAUGGUGCUAAAAAUAAAGGGAGCUUCGAGGCACAUGCACUUUACCUCAGUGAAGCAUUUGACGGGGGAACUGAGAUGACUCAACUUGCGGAGGCAAAGUUGGGAUCAUAAGGCCUUGGCACGGGGCAAGAGGAUGCGGAGGCGGGUACUCUUGAAGAAUAUACCGCAGUGUUGCCAUUCAAGUUGCCAUGAAGGAAGCGGUGCACAACAGAGAUUGUGCUAGUGGGGGGACAAAGGCCUAGGAUCCAAACAAUGGUGCACUAUUUUCAGCAAAGUCGGUGGACUUCGGGAGCUACUAGGCGACGAACUAUCCUAGAGCUGUGCUUCAUCUAGAUGUGACCCAAGAGCGGGUGGAUGAAGGUCGAUUGCCAAAAGAGCGAACACAAUCAAAUGUGGAAGAGGCCUUACGAUACGUUGGCAGAGGCCACACAUGGAGGGAUCACAAUCCGAGUUCAUCCCACAAUGAUCAAAAUGUAAUGAAGAUGUCACCAGGAGGCGACAUGGUGUAGCGGAUCAUGGUGGAAUAGUUCGUGGCAAUGCAAUACACAUAGAUUGUAGUCUCGUGAGGGACUAUAUCAUACGGAGGUAUGAUCGGGAGCUACUGGGAGCUCCACUUCGGUGAAUAACACGAUGACAAGAAGGGCUAUGGAUUCAAGGAGUGAAGACCAUGGUAUCGUAGAGGCGGGUCUUCCGUGCGUGCAUCGAAUUUUGCAUCGGAUUAAAGUCUUGGUCAUCAGCAUAUGAGGGAUGUGUACUACCGAGGGAAAAGUUUGAAUGCAAGUACCAGUGAGUCCCAAGGGAGGGACUUGAUCAUGCAAAGGUAUUAUCGAAGUAGCUGGUUAGUUGGACUACUCCAAAGCCCAUAUUCGCUUAAGGGAGCACAAUAAGUCAAAGGACAAGGUCGAGUAAGCAAACGUUGCUACUAAAGAAGCUAAGGAGAAUAGAAUCAGUGUGAACCCUGCAACAUGAUGGCAAAGACCAUGCAUGGGAGUUGCAGUCUGUCUUUCCAUCGACCAAGGGGAACUGCUUGGAGAGCACAGAGGUGUUGAAGCAAAGGGUCGAAAGGGGCGAGGAAGCGACGACGAGUCCAGAGGGACUUAGCUACCCAAAAAUCAAGCAUCGGUUAGAAUGGAGGUGGACUCGAAAGAGUGCCAUAGUGUCAUAGAGGCAGAUCUACCGAUCGUGAAGAAAGGGAUGCAGAUAUGAGACGACGGAUAGUAGGGCUAUGGGCAUGACAAUGCCAUGGUAUCGUAGAGUCGGGACUUCCACGAAGUCAUCGAUCCCUUGCUCUCAUGGAGGGAGAGCGUUUGGCUGUGAAAGGGGCCGAGAAGGUGGAGCAUACGGAGGCAAACUCCAAGUACCAAGACAAGGCUGAAGGGCAGAGGCAAAGGAACUUCGUAAGACCGGUGUCAAUGAGCUUCUCAUCAAAAUAACUGAAAGUGAAGGACUUCGAGUCGUGCAAUAGUGCACGAGCAAGGAACGAAGCAGGCAGUACGCGAUGAUAUACCUUUGCUACUCAGUGGAGUAGGCAACAGAGUUGAUGGAGAAGACGGUACAAUCCCAGAGGCGACCAAACUAUUAGAGACUUACUCCAAGUUGGGGUGAAAAGUUCUUGCAUUCCAGAAGUUCGAUGUCAUUGAGAAGGUGAAUCACAGUAGCUAACUCAACACAAGAAGUGCAAACACUUCAAGUGCUUCAGAAGUGUAAGCAAAGAGCAGGCGAAGGCCAGUAACCAGCUCGAUGCAUGAAGUACAACCCUCGAGGAGGUGGGCGAAGUCAAGAGGCCAAUCCCACACUAGAGUCAGAGUAAUUGGCGAGUUGAAGCAGUAUAGCGGAUCAAAAGUUCGACUACUCAACAACAGCAACAUAAAGCAGCUAGGAGCCAAGAGGCGCAUUGUAGCUGGAGCAGAAGAUUAAAGACUCAGCAAAGGCGAGGAGUUGCAGUGUCGACAAAGGCUUCGAUGAGGACGUCGAAGGAAUAAGUGGGGGAGAAUAUCACAGAAAAAAUUUUAAACAGGAUGUUUGAUGUAAUGCUUAUGUAUGUCUGUGUCUUUUGGUUUGUUUAUGCUUUACACAGCAUGUAGAGGGACGGUCGAAAGCUUAAUGACCACAUUUUAGCCUCCAAUUACCACCACUGCUAUAUAUCCAACUCGAGUUGAUGCUUGAAGUUGCUGAUUCUGAUGGCUUUAUCCAACCAAUU